AGAGUUUGAUCCUGGCUCAGGAUGAACGCCGGCGGCGUGCCUAAUACAUGCAAGUCGAACGAGAAGUCACGACUUCGGUUGUGAUGGAGAGUGGCGCACGGGUGCGUAACACGUAGCUGACCUGCCCUUCGCAGGGGGAUAACACAGCGAAAGUUGUGCUAAUACCGCGUAAGCUGGUGCUAGUUAGAGCGGCAUCAGUAAAGAGUUAUCGGCGAAGGAGGGGGCUGCGGUCCAUCAGCUUGUUGGUGAGGUAACAGCUCACCAAGGCGAAGACGGAUAGGGGGCCUGAGAGGGUGACCCCCCACACUGGAACUGAGACACGGUCCAGACUCCUACGGGAGGCAGCAGUAAGGAAUAUUGCACAAUGGGCGCAAGCCUGAUGCAGCAACGCCGCGUGAGGGAUGAAGGGUUUCGGCUCGUAAACCUCUUUUCUGUGUGAAGAGCAAGGACGGUAGCACAGGAAUAAGUCUCGGCUAACUACGUGCCAGCAGCCGCGGUAAAACGUAGGAGGCGAGCGUUAUCCGGAAUUACUGGGCGUAAAGCGCACGUAGGCGGCGCGCAAAGUGGUGCGUGAAAGCUCCCGGCUCAACUGGGAGAGGACGUACCAAACUGGCGUGCUAGAGAGAGAUAGAGGUCGACAGAAUUCCGGGUGGAGUGGUGAAAUGCGUAGAGAUCCGGA
rnacentral:rRNA from 1 species